UACGGAGGGUGCAAGCGUUGUCCGGAUUUAUUGGGUUUAAAGGGUGCGUAGGCGGCAGAUUAAGUCAGGGGUGAAAUCCUGGAGCUCAACUCCAGAACUGCCUUUGAUACUGAAGAUCUUGAGUUCGGGAGAGGUGAGUGGAACUGCGAGUGUAGAGGUGAAAUUCGCAGAUAUCUGAAAGAACACCAGUGGCGAAGGCGGUCAGCUGGUCCGUUACUGACACUAAAGCACGAAAGCGUGGGUAGCAAACAGG
rnacentral:rRNA from 1 species